UAACACGUAGGGGGCUAGCGUUGUCCGGAAUCAUUGGGCGUAAAGCGCGUGUAGGCGGCCAGAUAAGUCCGGUGUGAAAGUCAAAGGCUCAACCUUUGAAUGCCGCUGGAAACUGUCUGGCUAGAGUCCGGAAGGGGCGAGUGGAACUCCUGGUGUAGCGGUGAAAUGCGCAGAUAUCAGGAAGAACACCUAUGGCGAAGGCAGCUCGCUGGGACGGUACUGACGCUGAGACGCGAAAGCGUGGGGAGCAAACAGGAUUAGAUACCCUGGUAGUCCACGCCGUAAACGAUGGGCACUAGGUGUGGGAGGUAUCGACUCCUCCCGUGCCGAAGCUAACGCAUUAAGUGCCCCGCCUGGGGAGUACGGCCGCAAGGCUA
rnacentral:rRNA from 1 species